AUUGAACGCUGGCGGCAGGCUUAACACAUGCAAGUCGAGCGAGCGGCGGACGGGUGAGUAAUGUCUGGGAAACUGCCUGAUGGAGGGGGAUAACCACUGGAAACGGUAGCUAAUACCGCAUAACAUCAGAUGUGCCCAGAUGGGUUUAGCUAGUAGGUGGGGAAAUGGCCCACCUAGGCGACGAGCCCGAGCUGGUCAGAGAGGAUGACCAGCCACACUGGACCGGAGACACGGUCCAGACUCCUACGGGAGGCGGCAGUGGGGAAUAUUGCACAAUGGGCGCAAGCCUGAUGCAGCCAUGCCGCGUGUGUGAGGAAGCCCUUCGGGUUGUAAAGCACUUUCGGCGAGGAGACGUUACUCGCAGAAGAAGCACCGGCUAACGCCGUGCCAGCAGCCGCGGUAAUAC
rnacentral:rRNA from 1 species